UCGGAUGUGGUGCAUGCUGCACUCCCGCUUUCGCUGGCUGAAAGUUGAGGUAGAUUAAGGCGGGAGGACUGGGUUCGAUCCCCGGCGUCCGAA